rnacentral:rRNA from 1 species
UACGGGGGGGGCAAGCGUUGUUCGGAAUUACUGGGCGUAAAGGGCUCGUAGGUGGCCAACUAAGUCAGACGUGAAAUCCCUCGGCUUAACCGGGGAACUGCGUCUGAUACUGGAUGGCUGUAGUAUGGGAGAGGGAUGCGGAAUUCCAGGUGUAGCGGUGAAAUGCGUAGAUAUCUGGAGGAACACCGGUGGCGAAGGCGGCAUCCUGGACCAUUACUGACGCUGAGGAGCGAAAGCCAGGGGAGCAAACGGG